rnacentral:rRNA from 1 species
UACGAAGGGUGCAAGCGUUGCUCGGAAUUAUUGGGCGUAAAGGGUUGGUAGGUGGUCUUGUUUGUCUAAGGUGAAAUCCCAUGGCUUAACUGUGGAAGUGCCUUAGAAACGGCAAGACUAGAGUCCUAGAGGGGUUUGUGGAAUUCCCGGUGUAGCGGUGAAAUGCGUAGAGAUCGGGAGGAACACCAGCGGCGAAGGCGGCAAACUGGAUAGGCACUGACACUCAACAACGAAAGCGUGGGGAGCAACAGG